UGAACCCAUGGCCUCUGACUCCAGAUUCAAUAUUCUUUCCACUGUACCAUGCUAAAUGGUGUGGUUUAAACUGUUACAUGUGGUAGGAAUUGAGGGAAAAGAAGGGUAAAGUAGGCUAGAAUGGUCAGGGGUAGGAUUUGUGUUGGGCCUUGAAAGAUGGGUAAGAUUCAAAUAGGUGGAGAAGUGGGGAAUUGUAUAAUUUUCCCAACUAGAGUAUAAACUCCUUGAGGGCAGUCACCAUAUCUUCUCUUUCUUCUAUAUACCAUAGAGCAUCUAUCCCAGCACUCAUCACACAUUAGUUUAAGAGUGAGAUCAAAGAUUUUUUAGGUUUUCCUGCAAGUUGUUUUUACAAAAAGCUAAGAAAGUGCUAGGCAAAUAGAAGAGAAAAUGGCCUUGCCCAUUGAACUUAACUUUGUCUUUAUGGCCUUCCUCUGCCUCUUCAUCUAUGUGGGAGAAUGGAAAAGAUGGAAGGGGGCUUGGAGUUGAAAAAACUGGGAAACCCCAAACUGCAGAACUAUAUACUAGCUUUUAGGUGAAUAGAUUUACAUAGAUAAUGACCAGGUAUAGAUAUUAGAAUCAGAGAUUAAAAUCAGGAGGUAUAUGGAUUGCUCACCAUGACCUAGAGUUAAACUGCCCAUGGAAAUCUAGUCCAAAGAAAAGAUUAAGUACAGUAACAUUACUCCAUACAUUAACAAACUUGGAGUAUUCUACAACAACAGAGCUUGGCAUCUGAGGCAAAGAAUCUCUGGUGAAGAUGAAAUGUUUUCUAUCCAAAAUUCUGGAAAGGAACAGAUAGGCCACUCUACAAAGCCAGAAGGGUUUCUCCACCCACCAGCCCCAGGCCUUUUACUUAUCCUUUGACUGAGGAGGGUUUCUUUCUUAAGAGAGUUACAAGAAGUGACCUUUUCUUUUCAUGAGGAAGAGUAGCAAUUUAGCAAAGGUUCUGAGCUUGAAGCCAGAUGUGGAAGAAAAGAGAAGUUUCAUAGCCAUAUAUGUAUAUGUAUGUAUGUAUGUAUGCUAUGAAUAGCAGAUGGAUUAUGUCAAUAUCUUACAGGGACAACAUGUCUGGCACCUAAUGGAACAGCAUGUCCAUCAGAGACCAUCAGGGAUCAGGCCCAACUGAGCAGAGUGUGACAUCACUAGAAGAUAUCAGAGACUCUGUGGUGUCAGAGGUGUGAAUUACUCCUCCAAACAUGUGUCCUGGUCAUACAUGUAUGCCCUUCCAUGAAAGUCCACUCUGCCCAUUGAUGGUCAGAAAUGAGCAAUCCUGAGAAUGCACAUUUUCAGCCUUGGGGAUGACCUUGCAGAUAAUCUCGCUCUAAAGGGUUCUUCUGUUCUAAAAUUUACAAGCAAAAGAGUUCUUGAGUUGAAGAAUUGGAUGCUGGCCUCUGAUGGGAGAAGAUUCCCUCAAUCGUGUCUUGGAGAAGAAAGAGAAUCCUCAAUAAGAUUCUCCUGAAUUUGGAGGACUAAAGCCACCUUAUGGAGGGACAAGAGGUCUGGACCUUGCCAUAAUAUUGCUGUGCAUCACUAUCUACCAUUCUGCACUUCCUCUCUGAGAAGAGUGGGAAAGGAACAAGAGCUGGACCCUGGCUUAUUUCUCUUUUGUCCUGGCCACAUUGGCCUGAAGUCUUCUCUCAUUCCCUUCAUCCUCCUUCAAAGGACCAUAAUAAUUUCUAAGAGGAAACAAUAUUGGGGAUAACUGCAGUAGAAUUAUAGUAAAAACAACCCCCCACCCAAAAAAAAGAAACCAAGGCAAACAUUUAAAAUAUGAAAAACCAAGAGGUGUAUGGGGGAAGCUCAAUGUUGAAGAAGUAGAUUUUUUUUCCCAGUAGAGAAGGGAAAUAUGUUCCCCGAGACUUCAUAUAGGGGUUUGGAGUCUGGGGCCCAAGGCUCAUACGGUGAGUUUGCAGUGACACAGACCCUUUGUCUACCUGCCUUUGAACUAUGGGCUUUUAUGGUAGUAUGAAGUCAAAUACACUUAGUCUUAAGCUAAAAAACAUACAAACAAACAAAAAACAGUCCUAAUGUUGAGGUUUAGGGGUGCUGGGACCCCAAAAUUACAACAUGUGGGUCCUGCCCAAAAGAAUUCGACCCAAGCCUCCCAUCCCCAUCGUUCCUCCCUCAAAUAAAUGGGGCCCAAAUUCUUUUUUUGGGGGGGGCAAUUGGGGUUAAGUGACUUGCCAAGGGUCACACAGCUAGUAAGUGUC